GCCACCACCCCUUCCCAACAAUCCAGUAACAAUCCAGAGGUCACCACCCCUUCCCAACAAUCCAGUAACAAUCCAGAGGUCACCACCCUUUCCAACAAUCCACUAACAAUCCAGAGGUCACCACCCCUUCCCAACAAUCCAGUAACAAUCCAGAGGUCACCACCCCUUCCCAACAAUCCAGUAACAAUCCAGAGGUCACCACCCCUUCCCAACAAUCCAGUAACAAUCCAGAGGUCACCACCCCUU
rnacentral:lncRNA from 1 species